AUGGAUAUAAAAGUAAUUUCUUCUCGUGGUUUGUCAUCUUUAUGCCUGUUCAAUAGUUUAAAUGGUGAAAUGUUGAUCUUUUAAACAACAGGGUGGAAGGAAAGAUCAGUGUGAUACGAGAGUGCUCCCUCACAGUUACCCCCAGAGGCCCGAGCCCACCCUGUCGCUCCUCCGUUUGACCCCUGGGUCCUCGAUGGCCCGGCUGCCUGGCGUUUCCUGCGGUUGUGAGGUGGAGCAGGCCGGAGCCUCCACCUAUAGCAACAGACACCUGCAGCAGAUCAGCAACAGAAGAAUUACAGACGUCUUUGACCUCUUCCUCACUCAGAGCAGCUACCUCCUUCACACUGAGCAUACCUGCAAAAUGUCUCCCGCUGAGGUACUGGGAGUCAUUUUGGAGGAGGAGACAUCAGCCUGCCAGCUGCAUUGCUUCUUCAGCAACCUCCUGUCCUCAGGACACAGAAGUCACGUGGAGAAACACCUCAGGCGGUUACCCAAAGCCAGACUUAAAGAGUCCUUUGACACUAAGAAGAGCAAAAAGAAAGAUGGAAGCUCCUCUGUGGUGCCAUGUAAGUGUUUCUUUUAAUCAUUUAUUGUGUUUGAUAAUUUAUAUCAUUAUGAUGUCAUAUCUCACAGGCGAUGUUUCUAAGUAGGGCUGCCCCAAACAGUUAUUUUAACUGUCGACUAAUCAGUGAUUUUUGAAUAAAAUGAAGUCGGCAUCUGAAACAAAGAAAUUAUUUUUCACAGAAUAUAAAGUUUUGGUCUCACUAACUUAAAUAUAGCAAAUGUGCAUUUUGUAGUGCUGAGCAAUCACAACUGUAUUCAACUUCACUACAACUGACUAUAUAAUUCCAAACUGUACAAUGCUCUUACUCGUCGUCAGGAAAGUUAGCAUUUCUACACACCUUGCAGGAAGACUUGAUCUCUUUUGAGAGCAGAUGUUCCCUUCAGCAGAGAAUGUUUGCUCCAAUGGGGUAGAGGUUGUAGGGAUGCACAGAAAACAUUUAGCUAAUAAGUUUGUGCUAAAGUUAGCUUAGCUUACUUAGACAAUGAUCCCUCUUCAGCACAAUGGAACACAAGUUUUGCCUUGCAGAUAGUGCAUUGGACACUUUUGUCUUUUGUUUUUUUAUGUCUCCCACUUUCAAGCUCUGUUGGCAUUUUGGUAUGGUACCCGAGUCUUCCUACAAAUUCCUGUGACAUCAGAACAGAGCCGGAUUAGCGCAUGUGUGUCAAAGACGAUGGCAGGGGCAGCAUUAGAAAAAAAAGACCGAUUUACUAUUAAACUACUUGUUGACUAGUUUGAAAGUUGAUUGAGUUGUGACUAAUCAACUAAUCGUGGCCACCCUAAUUCUAAGAUUAUUUUUUUGGCAUUCAACCUCAGAUUUGGUGCUAAUUCUUAUCCUUUACUGGUUUACACUACACAAAGCCCAGUAGGAUAUAGGUCAGAGCUUGAUGAAGGACCACAUCAUCUCCAAACAGCAGAGGCAGAGUUCCAAGGCUCCGAAAGCCAAAGUUUCUUUCUGGUGGGGGGUGGUAACAUGUCGGUAGAUGAUAGAUAAGUUCAUGAAGAGGGCUGGUUAGUCUCUAGUUUUUAUUUAGACUCUUUUAAAGUUUGAGAUUUAUGUAGAAACCACUUAAAGUUUGUUGUCUGUGUUUCCAAGUUUAUCUGCUCAAGAUAAUAAAUGAACUCAGAUGAAAGUAGAACUCGAACCAGCUCAGCAGUAAAGGGUCUUAUGUAGCUUCAGUGUGCAUGACUUUGGGGUUGCAGAUAUUUUCUAAUUGUUACUUUUUUAUGCAUGUGGCCUCCUUUCUCCUCCCCUCAUGGUUUCUGUUUCUGCAGCACGACGAGCCAGCAUGGACCAAACCCCUCCACCUGCCGUCCAGGACGCCUUGUCCUCCACGGUCAGUUCCUCUUCUGUCAGUCAGAUUCUGAUGACACUGAUGAUCAAAUCAUAACCAGAUGAUGAUGAGACUAACACAUCAGAGGAACAGAAACACACAACACACUUUGUCAUCAUUUACUGAACAGAACUGAGACAAAAGAAGGAGGAUUGUUUGCAUCAGUGCAGACCUCCACGAGCGUUUCAGGUGUUUUGUCCAAGCAUGCUGAGAGCAAAGUCAUCCGAGCAGAUCUUUGAGAAAUACCUGCUGCAAAUCCACAUGUGAGGAUUAUUCCAUCGAUCCACUGUCCAUCACUCUGCAGAGAGGAAGACACUCAUCCCACCAGAGGGUUUUUUAGCAAGUUCAGCUCCAAAUUAAGACCGUGUGAUGCAGAAGACCCAAGAGCCUCAUCCCAGACUCUGUAGACUUCAAUGAGCAUGCUCGUGUCAGAGUCCAUGAGUACUGAAUCUAUUUACUGUGUGAGUUUAAAGCUGGAAAAACCAGCACCUCAGAGUUCACAAGGACGUGAUGAAGGGAGAACUCUGUUCUCUGAAUGGGUCUCAGGUUCUCUUUCCCAGCAGGGGGGGUUGACCUCAGGGGUUUUCUCUGCAGGCUUUGUUCACAUCAAAGCUUUAGUCAAAUCAUCGAUUUCUUGUCUUCUCAACUACUUUUGUGCGUCUCUUUAUGUCUUCUUUUACCUGACAACCAGGAUGAGCCCUCAGUGGGGAUUCAUGACAUUCAGGACUGGAGGAGGCUGAACCCUGAGCCCUCCUCCCCUGAGUCGAUCAUCAAAGAGGACGCUGCCCUGCAAGAUGGACCCGCCUUCACUCAGUAAGUCUGAAUCAUUUAUGCUAUGUACAGAUGCAGCUUUCACGCCUGGGGUAACACGUUUGCAUGAGCUUUAAAGCAUGGACAGAUGUGCUACAUCAGGCUGUUAGGGGCUGCAGGUUCUUUACAGAUAUCACAGAACUGAUCCAGAAAACAUCCCUCCUAUUGGAUGCACCUGAAGGCAUCCCACGGUGUGGUCAGAAUUACAGAAACUAUGUGAAACUGAAAAGUUUACAGGGUUUGGAGCGACUCAAACAAAAUUCAUCUACCCAUCUUUUCAAUGCUGAGAAACUGUAGCUUUAAAUUUGAAUGCUUUAUGAUUCCACGUCAACAGCCUGGUUCUUUUGGUUGUCUGAAGUAAAACAAGGAGGCCAAGAAUGGAAGGAAAAUGUAUAGAAAAAGACGAGGAUCAUUCUUUGGUUUACCAAGGAUUAGGACACAGAGACAGAACUUUUGUGUGUAAACACACCAUAUGCAGCUACAUACAAGGACAAGAUCUUUAGAAGGUUUGUUUCUAAAUGUUACAUGCUGUGGAUCCUCUUAUGUGCAACCAUCAACACAUAAUAAGACUAUACAGGUGGAUUUCUCACUGACCAGGGCCCAUGAGGAGUCACAAAGUCUGACUUCACC
ensembl:lncRNA